GAUGAACGCUGGCGGCGUGCCUAAUACAUGCAAGUCGAACGCUGGAAAUCUAGCUUGCUAGAUUGAAGGAGUGGCGAACGGGUGAGUAAUACAUAAGCAACCUACCCACGAAGACUGGGAUAAUCUCUGGAAACGGGGACUAAUACCGGAUAGGUAAUCGGAAGGCAUCUUCUGAUUAUUAAAGGUUAAAAACACUGGUGGAUGGGCUUAUGGCGCAUUAGUUAGUUGGUGAGGUAACGGCCCACCAAGACGAUGAUGCGUAGCCGGCCUGAGAGGGUGAACGGCCACAUUGGGACUGAGACACGGCCCAGACUCCUACGGGAGGCAGCAGUAGGGAAUUUUCGGCAAUGGGGGAAACCCUGACCGAGCAACGCCGCGUGAGUGAUGACGGCCUUCGGGUUGUAAAGCUCUGUUGUAAGGGAAGAACGGUAGAUAGAGAAUAUCUAAAUGACGGCACCUUACCAGAAAGCCACGGCUAACUACGUG
rnacentral:rRNA from 1 species